rnacentral:lncRNA from 1 species
AACAAAUUAUAAUAGUGUCAACUCAAGUAAAGCCUGUUGAAGCAGAAAUGAUUUGAUAAAGGUUUAUUGAAAGCCAAAUGUGAGGAUUGACCCGGGAAGACACCAACAAAGUUGGACUUCUUUUGUUACUUUGGAUGAAGCUAUUAAGAUAACCAACAGGCGUGUAAAUGCCAUUGAACAUGUCAUCAUUCCCCGGAUUGAACGUACUCUUGCUUAUAUCAUCACAGAGCUGGAUGAGAGAGAGCGAGAAGAGUUCUAUAGGUUAAAGAAAAUACAAGAGAAGAAAAAGAUUCUAAAGGAAAAAUCUGAGAAGGACUUGGAGCAAAGGAGAGCAGCUGGAGAGGUGUUGGAGCCUGCUAAUCUUCUGGCUGAAGAGAAGGACGAGGAUCUUCUAUUUGAAUAAUCUUUCCUGUUCUGGUUCUUUGAGAAACCCUAACACUGGCUUCAUUUUAAUUCACAGUGUGUAGGUUUGAUUUGUGUGGCUAUUUAUUUUUUGGCCUAAGAAUUUCACUGGUUGUAAAAUUUACCUAGAUGUCUAUUUAUGGGAUUACUUUUGCAGAAUCAUAAUUUAGCAACCAUUUAUCAUGGAUGAAAGAGAUCUGUAAAACCUGCCCAGGAACUUACAGAAUUUACUUUGCAGAAGCGUUAUCAUACUCCAUUUACAUCUGUGUUACACGUGAUCUGCUUACCAAGCAUAUUAGGAAAUACCUCUUAGGAAGCAUUAGCGGUCUCAGGCCAAUUACUGUGGAGCAGCUUUCAUUCCUACCCACUUG